GCAGGGCUGGCCUGUCCCAUGUCGGGGCCUGGUGAAGCCCCUCUCCCACGAGGGGCUCUGGCUGGGGCCCACGGGGCCUUGUGGGGCACGGCAGGGAUCAGAGGGCAUCCCGGCAUCUGUGGAAGUUCAUGCAGCUUCCCCCUGGAUCUGACCACGGAUUUUAUGAUGCAUUCUGCCCAGAAACUCAGCAGAAGUGGCCACUCCUUCCCUUUUGAGACUAACAGUGAGUGUUUAAAAGCCCGGGCGGGUUUUCCGGGGCUGCUGGGGGCUGGGACCGUGGGCAGGGCGGGAAGGACACGGUCGCUGGCCCGGAGGCGAGGUCGCCCUCUGCUGGCCUUCCUCCCUGGGGCAGCGGCGUGGGUGGGGCCCUGGGCUGCCGCCCCACCUUCUGGAAGCUGCCUGCAGGGCGGAGCUGAAAG
rnacentral:lncRNA from 1 species